rnacentral:rRNA from 1 species
UACGAAGGGUGCAAGCGUUAAUCGGAAUUACUGGGCGUAAAGCGUGCGUAGGCGGUUUGUUAAGUCUGUCGUGAAAGCCCCGGGCUCAACCUGGGAAUUGCGAUGGAGACUGCAAGGCUUGAAUCUGGCAGAGGGGGGUAGAAUUCCACGUGUAGCAGUGAAAUGCGUAGAGAUGUGGAGGAACACCGAUGGCGAAGGCAGCCCCCUGGGUCAAGAUUGACGCUCAUGCACGAAAGCGUGGGGAGCAAACAGG